rnacentral:rRNA from 1 species
AAGCCUGAUGCAGCGACGCCGCGUGAGGGAUGACGGCCUUCGGGUUGUAAACCUCUUUCAGCACGGAAGAAGCGAAAGUGACGGUACGUGCAGAAGAAGCGCCGGCUAACUACGUGCCAGCAGCCGCGGUAAUACGUAGGGCGCAAGCGUUGUCCGGAAUUAUUGGGCGUAAAGAGCUCGUAGGCGGUUUGUCGCGUCUGCUGUGAAAGCCCGGGGCUUAACCCCGGGUGUGCAGUGGGUACGGGCAGACUUGAGUGCAGUAGGGGAGACUGGAAUUCCUGGUGUAGCGGUGAAAUGCGCAGAUAUCAGGAGGAACACCGAUGGCGAAGGCAGGUCUCUGGGCUGUUACUGACGCUGAGGAGCGAAAGCAUGGGGAGCGAACAGGAUUAGAUACCCUGGUAGUCCAUGCCGUAAACGUUGGGCACUAGGUGUGGGGAACAUUCCACGUUUUCCGCGCCGUAGCUAACGCAUUAAGUGCCCCGCCUGGGGAGUACGGCCGCAAGGCUAAAACUCAAAGGAAUUGACGGGGGCCCGCACAAGCGGCGGAGCAUGCGGAUUAAUUCGAUGCAACGCGAAGAACCUUACCAAGGCUUGACAUACACCGGACCGGGCCAGAGAUGGUCUUUCCCCCUUGUGGGGCUGGUGUACAGGUGGUGCAUGGUUGUCGUCAGCUCGUGUCGUGAGAUGUUGGGUUAAGUCCCGCAACGAGCGCAACCCUCGUUCUAUGUUGCCAGCACGUGAUGGUGGGGACUCAUAGGAGACUGCCGGGGUCAACUCGGAGGAAGGUGGGGAUGACGUCAAAUCAUCAUGCCCCUUAUGUCUUGGGCUUCACGCAUGCUACAAUGGCCAGUACAAUGGGUUGCGAUGCCGCGAGGUGGAGCUAAUCCCAAAAAGCUGGUCUCAGUUCGGAUCGUGGUCUGCAACUCGACCACGUGAAGUCGGAGUCGCUAGUAAUCGCAGAUCAGCAACGCUGCGGUGAAUACGUUCCCGGGCCUUGUACACACCGCCCGUCAAGUCACGAAAGUUGGUAACACCCGAAGCCGGUGGCCUAACCCUUGUGGGGGGAGCCGUCGAAGGUGGGACUGGCGAUUGGGACUAAGUCGUAACAAGGUAGCCGUACCGGAAGGUGCGGCUGGAUCACCUCCUUU